rnacentral:hammerhead_ribozyme from 1 species
ACCCAGAUGAUGUGUCCCAAAUGGGACGAAAUGCGCAUCCUGGAU